UGUAGCAGCACAGUGAAUUUUAGCCCUGGGUCACGGAGCCCCCAGCUGCUUUACCUCAGGGUGUUGAGCAAGCCGUGGUCACAUGACAGCCUACAUAGCAAAGACGAGUGACUGCAACCUGGGUUUGCUCAAGCUAUUCAGCAGCACAGGGAACUCUGAAGAAAUAGCACAGAACUGCAGCAAUAUUGAUAAAGUCGCCCUUUUCAAGAGGAAAGCCCUAUCCAGGUAGAGGUUUUAGAAGGUUCAUCUGUAAAUGAUGCAUUUGACGGAAAGGUCAACCAUCUCACUCUUCCUUUUACUACUGUUGGCAAUAGAAUGUGACUUCAAAUUUAAUCUGAGAGGCGCCUUACCCAUCACCCAGAAAGCAUGACCCAACCUGAAGAGAAUCCUUAAUGUAGCUACAGUAACAGUCACAGAAGUAUCGAAGUUCUUGAAAUCCAGAUUGGAAAACUCCCACGGAUAUCAGGAUGUAGCACCUACGGGAAGAUUGGUGAAGAAUUUAGAAAAAUGAUCAUAAAUCUUGAAGACACCCUUUUAUUCUCAGAAUCAGCUGCACAUAUUGAUUGAGUCAUUCUCUAACAUCCUCCAAGGAAAUCAUAUGGUUCUGAGUAAGCUGAAUGAGCUUAUUCUUUCUCAGUAUAUGUUUCAUGCAAGAGUGGGGAACAUAUUCUAAAUAGUUCAUAUCCUCUUUUUUAAAUCAUGCAUGCCUUCCUCUUAAA